GCUUCUUCUUCAGCCGGUUCAGCCGCGCCGCCGCCGCCGCCUUCAGCCGGCUGCCGGCCCCGCCGCUCCUCCGCCCGGGCGCCGCCGGCCGCUGGCCCUGGCCCGGCGGGGGCGGCGGCUCCGGUUCCCCGCAGAAGCAGCCGCUCAGCUCCGCGUCCAGGUCCCAGUCCGGCCGGGCCGCCUCCAGCAGGUCUCCCAGCUCCAGCCCCGGGAACCAGUCCUCUUGCUCCCACACCUCCAGCGGGCCGCCGGGCGCCUCCGCGUCCUUCUCCUGCCGCCGCGGCUCCAAGGCGCCCGCCUCCCGCCGCGCCGGCGGCUGCUGCUUGGGCCGCGCGGGGCCCGCAUCCCUCUCCCCGCCGCCAUCCCGCCCUCUCGGGGCCUGCCCCGCGCCGGCCAGCGGCCAGACGGCGCCCGAGGGGCUCGCUCCGCCGGAGGAGGCCGCCAGCAGCUGGGAGCCAGGAUCAAAAUGAAAGGCUGUGGUUCGUUGUGCAGUGGGUAGUGGAGCAAUACUUGACACCUGGCCUUGUGUGGGUUCAAGAAGUUCAGAAGACCGGCCUGUGGACAGCUGCUACUACUUAGAAACCACAUCUGGCUUAGGAAGUCCUUGAGAUGAACUGGUCACAAGCUGGAGGAUCUCCAGGCCUUCUGCUUCUGGCCCAUCUGCACGCUGCUGAACACUGAGCUCAACAGAUACCAAAUUUGAUGCGGUGCUGCUGCGUUGUGGAUGCUCAGGACCAAGAGCUACCCAACCAGCCAGCUAAAACGUUGAGAAAACACCUAAAAACUAGAAAACAAACUGGCAGAACAUCUUGAACCUCAACCUGUUUCAAAGAUUACUGAAAUCGCCCAAAGACCUGUCAAUUUAUUCUGAGCUGAACAGGGAUGUAAAUAAUGCUGCAACGCUGAAUAAGACUAAGACAACCUCAGAAACUUGCACAACUACUAGACAACCCUACACAACAAUUUGCCUGAGCAUCAGGUCCAUGUCCCUCCAGUGCUGAGGAGCCCAGAGCUGGACACAGCGCUGCAGGGGGGUCUCACAGAGCAGAGCAGAGGGGCAGCCCUUGUAGGAGGAUUUAAGCUGGUGUUUUCUUUCCCCCGAGUGUUUGUUGCCACUCCUGCUGUGGGGUUUCUGUCUCCGUGAAGAUAAGAGGCUGAAUCCAGUCACCCCAGAGCUCGUGCUGUCAUCCCAUAUGGUUGGAACAGGGCUGGCCCCGCGAGAGCGGCUGAAAGAGCUGGGGGUGUUUCUUUGCAAACAAAUGCUGCCAACGCUCUCAAAAGCACCCAGAUUUGGUAAAGGGAAGAGGAUUUCCACAAGUCUGAAGAACUCCUCUCUCUCGGCUUGCACCCUGCGCGUGCCAGAGGACAUCAGAACAGCAGGCUCUGACCUCCGAAUGUGCCGAAGCACUUGGGGACAGCCCAAUCCUGUGCCUGCAAGACUUCCUUCUUGAAGAAAGCCCAGCCUUCCUAGACGCCUUUGCCCUUCAGGACUGCCUCCAAGGGACUCCAGUGCUGUGAACAGGCCAAACUCUGCCCUGUGGAAGUCCAUGGUAGUGGCUCUGCUGACCCCCCCUCCUUACUUUGCCAAGAAUCAAGAACUCUGUCAUUUCAUGGUCGCUAAGCCCAAGACAGCUUCCGACUGCCACAUCUCCCACCAGUCCUUCUCUGUGAACAGCAGGUCAAGCGAGGCACCUCCCCUGGGAGGUUCACUUGCCAGCUGUUUGAGGAAGUUAUCUUCUGUUGAAGGUCACCUCACCAGGACAGCUUUGACUUUUCUUGUGCAUGACAAUAGUAAAACAGUAAAAAGAUAAGCACAGCUGCGAAAGUUCUGCUGAAAACCUUUAACUUAAAGGUCUAUAGCUUGAUGCAGACUCCAUGGCAGACGAACAAAGAUAAUAAUAAAUUUUAAACAUCUAGCACUGUUAAGCCCUACUAUACUUUUCAAAGGCACCACUGUGACUGCCCCCACUGACCAUCCUGUAAAUUUGGAAGCACGAGGAAGGCUCACUUUUACGUGUGGUGACAACUGUCUUUAUAGGUUUACCUGUAAUGAUCUCCAUUUUCUGCACAUGCUGAAAAAAGGUAUUAAAAACUGGAGAGAAGCAAUGAAUUGUUUUACUAAAGGGCCCGUUUUUGUUAUUUGAUUCAGUUUCUUGUUUAAUCUAGAUGAGUAUGUAAUACUGCUGUGUCAUUAGUUAAUUGCACUAAUUAUGAGUGCAGUGCACAAGUAAACCUUAUGCUCAUGUUCCGGUGGCUUUUCAAAAUUUAAGCUAAGUUUUGAUCUAUUCAGUGUAGCAGUAAGCAGGGUCUUGAGAUAAUGACAAAACACUGCGUCCAUCUCUAGGAUGGUUCAAGAAUAGUGAGACGGAAGGUGUUCUACUUGACCAAAAGACAAGGAGAUUGACGCAAACCAAAGAUUUUAUUUUGAUGGCAGUCAAGUCUAUCAAAAUACUACCAAAAUUUUGUACAGCAUCAACCACAGCAGAUUACAUGAGAAUUGUCUGCAAAUCUAGAGCCUCAGGAUCCCACCCCUACAGCCUAAGUCCUACAGCUAUUUUCACACAGUGGAAGCUUCACAGGAAACACAACAACAACUUUAAUCCUGUGAAAUGGUAGGUCAUGUUCACAGCAACCUACUGUUGCAGGUGACAGUAAGUUCGUACAGGCAGCGAAUACAAAUAAACUGGGUGCUGCUUUGCUCCUCCAGAAUCACCACCCUUUCAGGAGCAGCUGUUUAAGAGCAGAGAUGCGGCGCAGCUGCUGUACCACUGAAGUACAAACACCUCCCCUGAAGCACCGUAUGCAAGCUGUUCCCUACUCACACACGGAGAAUGUUUUGUAUGUACCUGGCAAAGUAGAGUCUGUAGUAGCUCCCGAUCUCAUCCAAAGCACCUGAAGCAGUAAGAUAUCAAGACUGACAACUCCUCUUGACAUCUGUAAACUCCACAGACCGCCUGGUUGAUGAGAGAGAAAGCGGGUUCCCUGGCAGGUUGAAUUGCACCUUUCCUUUUUUUCGUUCAUAGUGUGUAAUAAAUACCAAGAAACAUUUUAAUUUCUGUGAUUAAAUUAAGCAGUUGAGUUGAAGAUGUAAAGAGCCUCCUACUCCUCCCUACUCAAACUGAGGUGCAAGACUGCACCAGCUUCUAAACCUACACAGUUGGAGCAAAUAAAUGUACAUUUAUUUUCAGAAAUGUUUUGUCUGUAUUUUGUUACGCUGCAUGCCAAAUGCUAAUGUAAAACACUGGAUUGUAAC